rnacentral:rRNA from 1 species
UACGGGGGGAGCAAGCGUUGUUCGGAUUUACUGGGCGUAAAGGGCGCGUAGGCGGCCACCGCAAGUCGACUGUGAAAUCUCCGGGCUUAACCCGGAAAGGUCAGCCGAUACUGCGGGGCUAGAGUGCAGAAGGGGCAACUGGAAUUCUCGGUGUAGCGGUGGAAUGCGUAGAUAUCAAGAGGAACACCUGCGGCGAAGGCGGGUUGCUGGGCCGACACUGACACUGAGGAGCGAAAGCGUGGGGAGCGAACAGG